UUACGGCCAUAUCAUGUUGAAACACCGGUUCCCGUACGAUCGCCGAAGUUAAGCAACGUCGAGUCUGGUCAGUACCUAGAUGGGUGACCGCUUGGGAAUACCAGGUACUG